UCUGCAGUCACGGGAAGCAGUUACAAGCAGAUCAAAAAUUGAGCUCCACGUUUGCUUUUGCUAUUCGAGAGCCCUUCCUCGCAAAGCUGGGGGCGGUGUUACGUAUCCGCCCACCGCAGACAGCACCGGUGGCCUGGGACUGAAAAGCUGGGGCUGUACAGUUCUAGCUGCGUGCUUUAUGCUGCCGGGGAGGGGGAGGGGGCUGUCCGAGGUGCUGAAGUCGGGGGCUGAGGCCGCGGUAGCCGGGUGUGUCAGCGUCCAUUGUUGCCACUGUCUGUGGUCAUCGUCGAGAAGGCCGAGUAUGGGGGUCAGGUGAAGCCAGGGCGGGACCCGAUGAUUACCUCAGGCCUCUCUGGAUAACCCAAGAUAACCUCCCCAUUGCAAGAUCCUUUACUUAGUCAGAUCUGCCUGCAAUAUAGGUUCCAGGGAUUAGUGGAUAGACCUUGUCUUAGUCCAUUUUCUAUUGCUAUAACAAAAUACCUGAGACCAGGUCAUUUAUAAAAAAACAGAAGUUUAAUUGGCUCAUGGUUCUAGAGUGUGGGAAGUCCAAGAGCAGGGCACUGGCAUCUGCUUCAUAAGGGCCUUCUUGUUGCACCAUCACAUGGCAGAGGGGAUCACACAGUGAGACAGCAAGUGUGCUAGCUUAACUUUCUCCUCCUCUUUUUGUGAAGCCACUAGUCCCAUCAUGAGGGCUCCAUCCUCAGGAACUCAUCUGUCUCUAAUUACCUCCCAAAGUGCCCCUGUGCCAUAUACAUGAAUUUGGGUAUUAAGCUUUCAACACAUAAAUUCAGGGCUCCACAGUCAAGUCACAGCAGUUCUUUGUGGGGAGAGUCUUACUCUGCCUGCCACAGAGAGAAAGUGAAGUGCCCAAAUUCACAAGCCACAAGGCCCCAGAAAUUGUGCACACUAGGAAAAUAGAAGGACAAAAAGGGGCUUCCCUAUCUCACAUUCCCCCCAGGAGGUGAUGCCUAUGCCCAGGGGCAGCCUGACAAGCUGCAAGGCUGCCAGCCACUGUCAAUCACCCUUAGAGGCCCUGUGUGGCCUUCUGGACCUCCUAACAGCCCAAGGAAAGCUUUAGAAUGCCCAAUCCUAUUCUUCCAUUGCAUUAUUAGGACAUUUUUAUUACUAUAUGGCUCAAUUCCUGUCUUUCUCAGUUUUUUUCCCACUAGUCUGUGAGCAGAGACCACAUCUGACCAUCUCUGUGUUCCCAGGACCCAGCAGAGUAGUGUCAGCUUGUGCCCACUGCCCUGUGGGACCCAUCAGAGCCCAUACGUCACCCUCAGACAUCUUGCAAAAAAACUCUGACCAUACCUUCACCAAGAAAGCCCUGGCACCUUGCCCUGGGCCGGGGACACUGUAGGAGUAACUCAGUGAAUGAGUGAAUGGCCGUCAUCCAUUGACCCAUCACAUCACCUCCUGCAAUUUCCAUCAUGGUACUUACCAUUACUUGAACUUUUUUAUUCUACUUAUUGACUCUACGUUUGUCUUUGUCCUUACCAGAAUGGCAGCUCCAGAAUGGCAGGAAUGUUUUCUGCCAUGUUCAAAGCUGUGCUUGGCUCUGACAACAAAAAUAAUAGCAAUAAGAGCAACGUAUGGAAUGCUGCCUGCUGGUGCUAUGGAUGGAUGGAGAGAUGAAUGAACAAAUGAAUAGAAUGGUGUACCACGGAAGAAGGCCUUUCUAAUGAAAACUCCACUGAGAUAGCAUUUCUUUGCCUUUCCCAGCUUCUAAUGGCCACCCGUAUUUUUUUUACUCCUUUUGUUAAUUAAUUAUAUUUUUAAAAUAAAAAAGCCAGUUGGCAAGUCUGUAGAAAACCACUCUCAUAGACUUCUGGUAGGUGUUUAGAAAGGCAUAGACUCUAUGGGGGAAAAUUUGGCAAUAUCUAGCCAAACCGCAUAGGCAAUUACCUAGCAAAUCCAUGUCUGAGAAUCUAGCAUAAUGAUACACUGGCAAAAGGAACAGACUACAUACACACAGGGCAUCUACUGCAACAUUAUUUGUAAUAGCAAGAUGAAAAACUGAACCAACACAAAUGUCCCACCAAUGGGGACUGGGGGAAUGAGGUAUGGCACAACUGUGUAGGAGAGUUCUGGGCAGUUAUAAAAAUGAAUGAGGACCGUAAGGAAUUCCAUGCCUAAGAAUCAAACCAGUAGAACUAAAAGCAUAAUGCCCGUACCAAGACAUAUGUGAAUGCUCACAACAGUGUUAAUCAUGAUAAAGUGUUGCUCAGAAAAUGGAAGCAGUCCAAAUGUCCAUCAACCAGCGAAUGGAUAAACAAAAUGUGGCAUAGUCGUACCACAGAACAGAUUUAGCCAAUUAAAACUAACAAAGUACUGGUACCUGCUACAACAUGAGGGAAGCUCACAAAAGUGUAAGUGAAAAAGCCAGACACAAAACACUAUAGGACUAUGUGAAAUGUUCAGAAAAAGCAAGUUUAUAAAGACAAAAUGACGGUCCAUCUGUAGUCACUGGGGACUGGAGUUGGGAGUGAGGAUUGGUAACAAAUGGACAUGGGGGAACUUUGUUGAGAGUAUUGGAGCAAUGAUAUUGAACAACAGCAGAAAUUUACUAAUAUCAUUGAACUAUGCAUUUACAAUGGGUAAAUUUUAUGGUAGUUAAGUUACACCUCAAUAAAGCUGUAAAAAAAAACAAAAACCCUGAGGAAACUAUAGCUAAAUAUUCAGCUAUGGAGUGAUACUUUGGUUUGAGAAAGUUUCGAAUGUGUCCCCUCAGGUUUUAUGCAUUAAAACUUCAUCCUCAUGGUGAAGUAUUAAGAGGAUGGAAACUUAAUCCAACUAUGGCAGUUAAAGGCAGGGCAUUUAGGGAGGUAAUUAGGGUUAGAUCAUGUCAUUAGGGUGGAGCGCCAUGAUUAAAUACUUUGGGCUUUGUAAGAGGGAGAGAGACCAGACAGACUCUCCUCUCUCUCUCUCUCUCUCUCUCUCUCUCUCUCUCUCUCUCACACACACACACACACACACACACACACACACACACACCACACACACACACACACUGUGUUUCACCGUAUGAUUCCCUACACCACCUCAGGGCUCUGCCAGCAAGAAGACCAUCACCAGAUAUGGCUCCUUGACUCUGCAACUCCAAAACCACAAACUAAAAUAAACCUUUUUCCUUUAUAACUCACCCAGCCUGUGGUGUCAUGGACAACAGAAAACGGACUAACACAAGUGAUCGCCAGGCUACCGUAUCCAGUUAAAAAAUGAAGAAAAAAGAAGAAGGCAAAGUGCAGAACCAUGUAUUGUGUGAGAGACCUUUUAUGUAAUGGAGCCAGUAUUUUAAAAAAAAAGAAUGGAAAUAAGUAGCAAAAAUUAAGAAAAUAUUCAUCUAUAAGAAGAAGGAAGAAUGGGGGAGACAGGGAAGAGAGCAAGCCUCAUCUGAAUUCUGAAAGCUACGCUUCUCUUGUAUUUUAAUCUUUGAUUUGGGACCAUGAAAAUGUUUCAUAUAAUUAAAAACAUAAAACAAAUCAAUUCUCCAGUUUCCUAAACUGACAACCAGAAACAAACCAUGGACCAAAUUUUUAUACAACAAUAAAAGAAUUUCAAGUGGCA